CCCCAGACUCCUACGGGAGGCAGCAGUGGGGGAUAUUGCACAAUGGGGGAAACCCUGAUGCAGCGACGCCGCGUGGGUGAAGAAGCGCCUCGGCGCGUAAAGCCCUGUCAGCAGGGAAGAAAAUGACGGUACCUGAAGAAGAAGCCCCGGCUAACUACGUGCCAGCAGCCGCGGUAAUACGUAGGGGGCAAGCGUUAUCCGGAUUUACUGGGUGUAAAGGGGGCGCAGACGGCAAUGCAAGCCAGGAGUGAAAGCCCGGGGCCCAACCCCGGGACUGCUCUUGGAACUGCAUGGCUGGAGUACAGGAGGGGCAGGCGGAAUUCCUAGUGUAGCGGUGAAAUGCGUAGAUAUUAGGAGGAACACCGGUGGCGAAGGCGGCCUGCUGGACUGUGACUGACGUUGAGGCCCGAAGGCGUGGGGAGCAAACAGGAUUAGAUACCCUAGUAU
rnacentral:rRNA from 1 species